UACGGCGGGGGCUAGCGUUGUUCGGAAUUACUGGGCGUAAAGCGCACGUAGGCGGCUUUGUAAGUUAGAGGUGAAAGCCCGGAGCUCAACUCCGGAAUUGCCUUUAAGACUGCAUCGCUUGAAUCAUGGAGAGGUGAGUGGAAUUCCGAGUGUAGAGGUGAAAUUCGUAGAUAUUCGGAAGAACACCAGUGGCGAAGGCGACUCACUGGACAUGUAUUGACGCUGAGGUGCGAAAGCGUGGGGAGCAAACAGG
rnacentral:rRNA from 1 species